CAAAGGAAUUGACGGGAACCCGCACAAGCGGUGGAGUAUGUUGUUUAAUUCGAAGAUACACGAAGAACCUUACCAGGUCUUGACAUACCAUUGACAGGUGUAGAGAUACACUCUCCUUCGGGCAAUGGAUACAGGUGGUGCAUGGUUGUCGUCAGCUCGUGCCGUGAGGUGUUGGGUUAAGUCCCGCAACGAGCGCAACCCUCAUUGUUAGUUACUACCAUUCAGUUGAGGACUCUAAUGAGACUGCCAACGACAAGUUGGAGGAAGGUGGGGAUGACGUCAAAUCAUCAUGCCCUUUAUGACCUGGGCUACAAACGUACUACAAUGGCCAAUACAAAGAGAUGCGAAGCGGUGACGUGAAGCGAACCUCAGAAAGUUGGUCUCAGUUCAGAUUGAAGUCUGCAACUCGACUUCAUGAAGGCGGAAUCGCUAGUAAUCGCGGGUCAGCAGACCGCGGUGAAUACGUUCCCGGGUUUU
rnacentral:rRNA from 1 species